rnacentral:rRNA from 1 species
CCUACGGGGGACAGCAGUGAGGAAUAUUGGUCAAUGGACGGAAGUCUGAACCAGCCAUGCCGCGUGCAGGAAGACGGCCCUAUGGGUUGUAAACUGCUUUUGUACAAGGGUAAACCUUAAUACGUGUAUUCUUCUGAAUGUACUGUACGAAUAAGGAUCGGCUAACUCCGUGCCAGCAGCCGCGGUAAUACGGAGGAUCCGAGCGUUAUCCGGAUUUAUUGGGUUUAAAGGGAGCGUAGAUGGGUUGUUAAGUCAGUUGUGAAAGUUUGCGGCUCAACCGUAAAAUUGCAAUUGAUACUGGCAGUCUUGAGUACAGUAGAGGUGGGCGGAAUUCGUGGUGUAGCGGUGAAAUGCUUAGAUAUCACGAAGAACUCCGAUUGCGAAGGCAGCUCACUAAACUGAAACUGACAUUGAUGCUCGAAAGUGUGGGUAUCAAACAGGAUUAGAUACCCUAGUAGUC